GACGAACGCUGGCGGCGUGCCUAAUACAUGCAAGUAGAACGCUGAAACUUGGUGCUUGCACCGAGCGGAUGAGUUGCGAACGGGUGAGUAACGCGUAGGUAACCUGCCUGGUAGCGGGGGAUAACUAUUGGAAACGAUAGCUAAUACCGCAUAAGAGUAGAUGUUGCAUGACAUUUGCUUAAAAGGUGCAAUUGCACCACUACCAGAUGGACCUGCGUUGUAUUAGCUAGUUGGUGGGGUAACGGCUCACCAAGGCGACGAUACAUAGCCGACCUGAGAGGGUGAUCGGCCACACUGGGACUGAGACACGGCCCAGACUCCUACGGGAGGCAGCAGUAGGGAAUCUUCGGCAAUGGACGGAAGUCUGACCGAGCAACGCCGCGGGAGUGAUGAAGGGUUUCGGAUCGUAAAGCUCUGUUGUAAGAGAAGAACGAGUGUGAGAGUGGAAAGUUCACACUGUGACGGUAUCUUACCAGAAAGGGACGGCUAACUACGUG
rnacentral:rRNA from 1 species